GGUGUUGUGGCUGAGAGGUAAAGUGCUAGACUAUAGCUAUAGUGUUCUCAAGUUUGAAUCUCGGUAAUGUCU
rnacentral:tRNA from 1 species